rnacentral:rRNA from 1 species
AUUUUUUUGAGAGUUUGAUCCUGGCUCAGGAUGAACGCUGGCUGUGUGCCUAAUACAUGCAUGUCGAACGAAGAACUUGUUCUUAGUGGCGAAUGGGUGAGUAACACGUAUCUAACCUACCUUUUGGAUGGGGAUAACUGUUGGAAACAACAGCUAAUACCGAAUAACUAUUUUAGUCGCAUGACUUUAAUAUAAAAGGAGCGUUUGCUCCACCAAAAAAUGGGGAUGCGGAAUAUUAGUUAGUUGGCAGGGUAAAGGCCUACCAAGACGAUGAUAUUUAGCCGGGCUGAGAAGCCGAACGGCCACACUGGGACUGAGAUACGGCCCAGACUCCUACGGGAGGCAGCAGUAGGGAAUCUUCCACAAUGAGCGAAAGCUUGAUGGAGCGACACAGCGUGAAGGAUGAAGGUCUUCGGAUUGUAAACUUCUGUUAUAAGGGAAGAAAACCCUAGAGAGGAAAUGCUCUAGAUUUGACGGUACCUUAUCAGAAAGCGACGGCUAACUAUGUGCCAGCAGCCGCGGUAAUACAUAGGUCGCAAGCGUUAUCCGGAAUUAUUGGGCGUAAAGCGUUCGUAGGCGGUUUAUUAAGUCUGGAGUUAAAUACUGGUGCUCAACACCAGCCCGCUUUGGAUACUGGUAAACUAGAGUUAUGUAGAGGUAAGCGGAAUUCCAUGUGAAGUGGUGGAAUACGUAGAUAUAUGGAAGAACACCAAUGGCGAAGGCAGCUUACUGGACAUAUACUGACGCUCAGGAACGAAAGCGUGGGGAGCAAACAGGAUUAGAUACCCUGGUAGUCCACGCCGUAAACGUUGAUCAUUAGUUGGUGGGGAACUCACCGACACAGCUAACGCAUUAAAUGAUCCGCCUGAGUAGUAUGCUCGCAAGAGUGAAACUUAAAGGAAUUGGCGGGGACCCGCACAAGCGGUGGAGCAUGUGGUUUAAUUUGAAGAUACGCGUAGAACCUUACCCACUCUUGACAUUUUUUGCAAAGGUAUGGAGACAUACUGGAGGUUAACAGAAUAACAGAUGGUGCAUGGUUGUCGUCAGCUCGUGUCGUGAGAUGUUUGGUUAAGUCCAGCAACGAGCGCAACCCUUGUCUUUAGUUACUAACAUUAAGUUGAGGACUCUAGAGAGACUGCCUGGGUAACCAGGAGGAAGGUGAGGACGACGUCAAAUCAUCAUGCCUCUUACGAGUGGGGCAACACACGUGCUACAAUGGCUAAUACAAAGUGAAGCAAAAUGGUGACAUUAAGCAAACCACAAAAAAUUAGUCUCAGUUCGGAUCGAAGUCUGAAACUCGACUUCGUGAAGUCGGAAUCGCUAGUAAUCAUGAAUCAGCUACGUCAUGGUGAAUACGUUCUCGGGUCUUGCACACACCGCCCGUCACACCAUGGGAGCUAGUAAUGCCCGAAGCCGGAUAGUUAACUUCGGAGGCUACUGUCUAAGGCAGGACUGGUAACUGGGGUGAAGUCGUAACAAGGUAUCCCUACGAGAACGUGGGGAUGGAUCACCUCCUUUCU